rnacentral:misc_RNA from 1 species
UCUCCGAUAAAUCGGAGCUGUCCCCCGUGAGAAUGCAACACAGGGUAGGGGUUGCGCUCGUUUGCCGACUGAACGGAACACCUCACGGCACGAGCUGACGACGACCGUGCGUCACCUGUCAUCGGGCUCCCGAAGGCACCCCGCCAUUUCUGGCAGGUUCCCGAGAUGUCAAGACCGGGUAAGGUUCUUCGCUUAGCGUCGAAUUAAACCACAUGCUCCACCACUUGUGCGAGCCCCCGUCAAUUCCUUUGAGUUUUAGCCUUGCGGCCGUACUUCCCAGGCGGCACACUUACCGCGUUAGCUGCGCUGCAGAGAGGGUCGAUACUCCCCACAGCUAGUGUGCAUCGUUUACGGCGUGGACUA